rnacentral:rRNA from 1 species
CUGUGAGGUAUGCUGGAGGUAUCAGAAGUGCGAAUGCUGACAUAAGUAACGAUAAAGCGGGUGAAAAGCCCGCUCGCCGGAAGACCAAGGGUUCCUGUCCAACGUUAAUCGGGGCAGGGUGAGUCGACCCCUAAGGCGAGGCCGAAAGGCGUAGUCGAUGGGAAACAGGUUAAUAUUCCUGUACUUGGUGUUACUGCGAAGGGGGGACGGAGAAGGCUAUGUUGGCCGGGCGACGGUUGUCCCGGUUUAAGCGUGUAGGCUGGUUUUCCAGGCAAAUCCGGAAAAUCAAGGCUGAGGCGUGAUGACGAGGCACUACGGUGCUGAAGCAACAAAUGCCCUGCUUCCAGGAAAAGCCUCUAAGCAUCAGGUAACAUCAAAUCGUACCCCAAACCGACACAGGUGGUCAGGUAGAGAAUACCAAGGCGCUUGAGAGAACUCGGGUGAAGGAACUAGGCAAAAUGGUGCCGUAACUUCGGGAGAAGG